rnacentral:lncRNA from 1 species
UCGAGCGUUGAAGAUGGCACAACUAGUCUUGUGCCUCUUAACAUCAUUGGAUGUGCCAAAAGACUCGUUCAAUAUUUGUAACAUAUCCUAUGGCUAAGCAUUCUCGAAAUGCUGGCUGAACUCAUCAUUCAUUAUCGCCAGCAUAAUGCAACGAACUAUAGUUCGAUCAUUGAGCCACUUCUGAUAAGUGUCUCUGGCAGUACUAUACACAUUCGGAGCUAG